GACGAACCGUGCGAACGUUGUUCGGAAUCACUGGGCUUAAAGGGCGCGUAGGCGGGCCGCCGCGUCCGGGGUGAAAUCCUCCCGCUCAACGGGAGAACGGCCUCGGAUACGGGCGGCCUGGAGGCGGGUAGGGGCACGCGGAACUGUGGGUGGAGCGGUGAAAUGCGUUGAGAUCCACAGGAACUCCGGUGGCGAAGGCGGCGUGCUGGACCCGAUCUGACGCUGAGGCGCGAAAGCCAGGGGAGCGAACGGG
rnacentral:rRNA from 1 species